GACAGAGGGUGCAAACGUUGUUCGGAAUUACUGGGCGUAAAGCGCGUGUAGGCGGCCCUGCAAGUCGGGUGUGAAAUCCCACGGCUCAACCGUGGAAGUGCAUUCGAAACUGCAGGGCUAGAGUCCUGGAGAGGAAGGUGGAAUGCUUGGUGUAAAGGUGAAAUUCGUAGAUAUCAAGCGGAACACCGGUGGCGAAGGCGGCCUUCUGGACAGUGACUGACGCUGAGACGCGAAAGCGUGGGGAGCAAACAGG
rnacentral:rRNA from 1 species